ensembl:lncRNA ADAM3A ADAM metallopeptidase domain 3A (pseudogene)
CAAUGCUGUCUCUCUUGCUGAUCCUCUCAGGCCUGGGCCGGCUGACCUCCGCGGGCCCACGCCACUUAUUCCAUCAAAAUUGAGGGGAAACCAUACACUUCCUGCUUGAAAAACAGGUCAUUGCUUUUACCAAGGAUAUGCUGCAGACAUUCCAAAAUCAGUUGUGGCACUACGCACCUGUUCUGGACUCAGAUGUUUUCCCAGCUUAAUAUGACAGUUAUGCUGUCUUCCUUGGAGAUCUGGUCAGAUCAAAAUAAGAUUUCAACAAGUGGUCAUGCUGAUGAAAUACUACAGCGAUUUUUGCCUUGGAAACAAAAAUUUUUGUUUCAAAGGUCUCAUGAUAUGACAUACUUAUUAAUUUAUAGGAACCAUUCUACUUAUGUGGGAGCAACAUAUCACGGAAUGGCAUGCGAUCCAAAGUUUGCAACAGGAAUUGCUCUGUAUCCAAAGAAAAUCACUGCAGAGGCCUUUUCAGUUGUUAUGGCACAGUUGCUUGGAAUUAAUCUGGGAUUGACAUAUGAUGAUAUCUACAAUUGUUACUGUCCAGGAACUACAUGCAUAAUGAAUCCUGAUGCGAUAUGAUCCCAUGGUAUGAAGUUUUUUAGCAGUUGCAGCAUGGAUGGAUUUAAACGGAUAGUUCUGCAGCCUGAACUUAAAUGUUUUCAGGAUAAAACAGUUUCAAAAAUGACUUACCGAAAAUCUUCAACUUGUGGCAAUGGAAUUUUGGAACCUACAGAGCAGUGUGAUUGUGGCUAUAAAGAGAGACAGGAUUUCACCAUGUUGGCCAGGCUAGUCUCAAACUUCGGACCUCAGGUUAUCCACCUGCCUCAGCCUCUCAAGGUGCUGGGAUUACAAACGCCCUGGUGUGUGAUGUUCACCAUUAUUCUAAGCAAACUAUCGCAAGGACAGAAAACCAAACACCGCAUGUUCUCACUCAUAGGUGGGAAUUGAACAAUGAGAACACUUGGACACAGGAUAAAUACACAUUUCUUAUUAACUUCUGAGAUAUUGUAUUGUAUAUUCCUCACACUGUUUUUCUGGUUCAUAGUUAUCUUGGGUAUUUUGGGCCCUUUGAAUUUUAUUGUAAAUUUCUGACUUUUUUUCAAUUGGUACCAAAAAUAAAGUAGACUCAUCUCCUGAAA